GACGAACGCUGGCGGCGUGCCUAAUACAUGCAAGUUGAGCGCUGAAGGUUGGUACUUGUACCAACUGGAUGAGCAGCGAACGGGUGAGUAACGCGUGGGGAAUCUGCCUUUGAGCGGGGGACAACAUUUGGAAACGAAUGCUAAUACCGCAUAAAAACUUUAAACACAAGUUUUAAGUUUGAAAGAUGCAAUUGCAUCACUCAAAGAUGAUCCCGCGUUGUAUUAGCUAGUUGGUGAGGUAAAGGCUCACCAAGGCGAUGAUACAUAGCCGACCUGAGAGGGUGAUCGGCCACAUUGGGACUGAGACACGGCCCAAACUCCUACGGGAGGCAGCAGUAGGGAAUCUUCGGCAAUGGACGAAAGUCUGACCGAGCAACGCCGCGUGAGUGAAGAAGGUUUUCGGAUCGUAAAACUCUGUUGGUAGAGAAGAACGUUGGUGAGAGUGGAAAGCUCAUCAAGUGACGGUAACUACCCAGAAUGGGACGGCUAACUACGUG
rnacentral:rRNA from 1 species